AGAGUUUGAUCCUGGCUCAGGAUGAACGCUGGCGGCGUGCCUAAUACAUGCAAGUCGAGCGAACAGAUAAGGAGCUUGCUCCUUUGACGUUAGCGGCGGACGGGUGAGUAACACGUGGGUAACCUACCUAUAAGACUGGGAUAACUCCGGGAAACCGGGGCUAAUACCGGAUAAUAUUUUGAACCGCAUGGUUCAAUAGUGAAAGACGGUUUCGGCUGUCACUUAUAGAUGGACCCGCGCCGUAUUAGCUAGUUGGUAAGGUAACGGCUUACCAAGGCGACGAUACGUAGCCGACCUGAGAGGGUGAUCGGCCACACUGGAACUGAGACACGGUCCAGACUCCUACGGGAGGCAGCAGUAGGGAAUCUUCCGCAAUGGGCGAAAGCCUGACGGAGCAACGCCGCGUGAGUGAUGAAGGUCUUCGGAUCGUAAAACUCUGUUAUUAGGGAAGAACAAAUGUGUAAGUAACUGUGCACAUCUUGACGGUACCUAAUCAGAAAGCCACGGCUAACUACGUGCAAGCAGCCGCGGUAUAC
rnacentral:rRNA from 1 species